GACGAACGCUGGCGGCGUGCUUAACACAUGCAAGUCGAACGGAAAGGCCCUGCUUUUGUGGGGUGCUCGAGUGGCGAACGGGUGAGUAACACGUGAGUAACCUGCCCUUGACUUUGGGAUAACUUCAGGAAACUGGGGCUAAUACCGGAUAGGAGCUCCUGCUGCAUGGUGGGGGUUGGAAAGUUUCGGCGGUUGGGGAUGUACUCGCGGCUUAUCAGCUUGUUGGUGGGGUAGUGGCUUACCAAGGCUUUGACGGGUAGCCGGCCUGAGAGGGUGAACGGCCACAUUGGGACUGAGAUACGGCCCAGACUCCUACGGGAGGCAGCAGUGGGGAAUAUUGCACAAUGGGCGGAAGCCUGAUGCAGCAACGCCGCGUGCGGGAUGACGGCCUUCGGGUUGUAAACAGCUUUCGCCUGUGACGAAGCGUGAGUGACGGUAAUGGGUAAAGAAGCACCGGCUAACUACGUG
rnacentral:rRNA from 1 species